rnacentral:lncRNA from 1 species
AACUGCAAACUGUGGACUUGUUCGUCAUCUAUUUUGGCUUGUAACUGACUGAGUUCAAACUCCUUCCUGCAAAUAGAUUAAAAAAAAAUAAAGAACAUGAAAUACAAGCCUCUUGGAGGGGGUGAAAGUUGGCUUUUAGGCUGAGACACAGAGGUGGUAAAAGAAAUAUCUACUUUUUCAAUUUCUCUUCUAUUUGCUGCUUGUCAUUUUCUAGAUCCAUAAUGGAUUCCUGGGACAUUUUCAGAUCUCCUUCCAGCUUCCUCUUCGCCCUUUCCAAGUCCGCCCGCAGUUUCUUCUCCUGCUCUAAGGAACCCUCAAGCUGAGAAGACACACAGAAGACCCAGAAGUCCAGCUUUGAAGAAAACCUGGAGAAAGAGAGAGUCACAAAUCAUCUCCAUACUGCAGGAGAUGCAGAAAUGGCAGAAGAAUAUUGAGUAUCACUUUAGAAUAUAUUAAACAACCUAUCAAGAUUAAUGAGCUUAUUCAGAAAAGAAAAUAAGUCCUGAUCAAUUUCAGCGUGUUUGGACCAGCAGAUUCCAGGUGAUGGAUAGGCAGCUUCAUUUUAAUAGUCUGUUGGUACAGGGUGACCUGUAGCCUUUCCAGAAGAGGUAAAAUGAAUCCUCCGGUUGUCACCCCCUCCUUCCUCGCUCCAAUUCCAUCAUUAAUCCCCGUUUGAGGAUUUGAGUGCUGCCGAGGACUGACAGACUCCAUGAGGUUCAGCUGCUGCCUGGUACAUGUGGUCACCUGCAGCUUCUUCAGCCCUACAUAUAUUUUGUGCUGUUUUAGACUGCUCUUUCUUCCAUUAAAUGAGAGAUUAGAUCUGAAUGGCCACGUGAUCUUCUGAGUCCCAUCUGUAAGAAUCUGCAUUUCCACGGAAUUGGGGGAGCAAACGUUCUCAAAACAUUCUUAAAUGCAAACCCGCAGGCACAGCAUGUGUCUGUCAACUCCAAGAGCAUUUGGAUGUUCGAAGGGAGAGGAUGUUUGACAUCUAACCCGUCGUGGAAAGAGGAGCCUCUACAGUGACAUGAAGGCAAUGGAUUCUCAGCAUUACAAGGCAAGACAGAACUUGAAGGAAGAAGGCUGGGAGGAAACCAAUGUUGAAUGAACACUGACUCUGUGCUCAGCCCUGAGCAAGCAGUGGAAUGCCCCUGGGCUGUGAGCCACGAAUUCAAAUCCCAGCUUGUAGAGCUGUUCUGGGGGUUAGAAGUUUGGGGUCCCUCGUUGCUGCACUCGUUCCAGGUUUGGGGCUGGCGCUGCCCUUCUGACCCCUCCCUAAAGUGGACACAGGAGAAGGAGCGGGGAGAAGAGACAGGCGGCCAGGAGACACCCUGUUGAGGGCUCCCUCUGCUUGCAACAGGACCUGCUGAGGUUGCAGCUGAAGUGCUGGUCUUCCCAGAGAAAACAACCCCUCAUUCUCAAAGGAUGAGAGUGAGCCCUGCGGGGCUGCAUGCUCUUGGCCAUGGGAGAUCAACUGUGGUCACAUAGAGUGUAAUCAGUGUGUAUUUAUGGAUCACUCACUACAUGCAAGACCGGGACACAGCCGGGAUUUACUGUGGGGCUGAAAGCAAGUCACUUAAAAAGGUAAAAAUUCAUGUCCUUUUAAUCUACUUUUCAGCAAGGAACAUCACGUCUGAAUGCUCGCGGCCUCUGCCUGCCCCGUGGGAUGGUGCUGGAAAUUAUACUCAUAUUUAGAUAGCAUUCUCUGCAAGUGGCUGCUGUUGUCCUUCCAUCGUCAGCACAGGCAGAUGCUGGGAGUACCCACCUUGGGGUGAGGUGGCAAGAGAGGGCCAGCUUGUAUCCGCCUCGUUGUCGUCCUUCCUUCCUGACUUGACUCUCUCCUCUGUGGCCUUCUCAGGAGUGGGAUGUGGUUGUGAGGAGAAUGUGCACUUUACCCCUCACCAGUCCAGAGAGGGGCACAUAGCCCAAACCUCUCCCCUUCCCAGAAACCUGCAAGUCCCCCUGGGUGCGCCUGUGUGAUGAGGCAGGCUCCGAGAGCCACAGGCUGGUGGGCCACUAGGAAGCAGUAAAGGAAGACAUUUUAUGAUUGUAGCUGGAGAUAAUGAAUUGAAAAGCUGGUCUCUGUUUCUGGAAAUGAUGCCAGGAGGCCCUCAAAAUAAACGCCCACCUGUCCUUCAGGUCUCAACACCUGUUGCUCUUGGGACAGAGAUCCCAGGCCCAAAAUAGGCACAGCUGCUAUGGAUGCUCGUCUUGCCCUCCUGGAGCUGAGACUGGGCCAUGUUUGGAAAUAUGUCUCCCUCCAUCCCCUCCUCCCAUCCUCAUUUGGAGCCUUAGGGCUUUAAGACGUGAGCUCUUUCCUCGCUCCCUCUCCCCAGUCUUUCUUGGGUAUCUCUGCUCCUCCCAUCACCUGUUCCUGGGCAUGGCAUAGGCAGUUGGUAAAUGACAGAUGAAUGAAUACAUGUACAAGGAAACACAGAUCUGAAAUUUCUAGCAGCAAAGUUUGGAGCAGGAAGCUCUGGCUGGCCCUGGGCUUUUUGCUAAGGGUGUUCUGGCUUCGCGUGGCAGCACCCCUCCCCACCGGGCCUUUGCCAGGACGCUCGAUCCUCUCUUCGGGCUUCUGAGCAGUGUGAAUUGCAAACAGCCAUGCCCACUCCCCAGGCCAAGAAAACCAAGUUCAUGGCCAGGAUUGCUCACAAAAAAAAAAAAAAAAAAAGAACCACUUCUGCCUUAUCAUUCUCUCUUUAUUACCGAAAUGCGGAGACAGAAAGUCAACAGAGAAAGAAUUGUUUUCCCCAAGGCCACACAGAUUGCUCCAACACUUGACUUUUCCUGCUAGGAACUCAAUCCAAGAGAUGGGCUUUCUUUUGUUCUCUGACUAUAAAAGGGUGUCACCUUGUCACCAUCUUCUAUCACACAGGACCCCUAUGGGCUUGGUUUGGUUUUGUUCUUUCAUCAUUAUUAUUUGGAAAGUUAUAUUUCCUUUACUGUCCUUGAGGUGUGAGGCUUCACCUCAUCUUGUCUCCAUAUCCCUGAGUCACUAAGGAGUCCUAUGUCAAUGACACCUCUCCAUAUGCUUUACCUAAGCUGCCCCUUCUCUCAGCAAGUUCGCGCCAGGCUUCCCCAUGAAGGCCACCUAAGGGUGUCUAUCGUCCCCCUCCUAAAUCUCCCCAGGACUUUUGAACAAGGGCCAUGUCCAGUUUAAUGUCACACAAAGAAGACUCAUCAAAGCCCAGGAGUUGGGAGUUCUUGCUCCUCACUGCCAUGGAAAGCAUGAAACAUCUGAGAUAAAAAUAAUCUGUGCCAUCCCCUGGCUCCGGAUGGACAGCAGUUGGGGCAUGAGCGCCUCCAGAAUGUCUCAGCAUUGCUGAGGGUAACCGGAUCGCCGCUCAGAUCCAGCAGGCAGCCUCAGAACCUCCCAGCUGCUGUUGUUUUUAGCACCGGGAUUAUUGGUAGGGGUGUAAAUAGACAUCUGUGUUCUGGGUGGCUCGCUCACCCCACAUUCCUAGGCACACUUGUUUUAUUAAAGCUCUCAGCUGUCGGGUGAUCCAGGCGUGGAGAAAUGAAAGGCCGCCCUCACCAGCUGGUGGUGGACUGCAAACUGCAACCAGUUUUCCCCCAUAAGGACAUGUUACUCCUAUUAGAAACUGUGUCCCUCACAUGUCCUUAAGAAGCGGGCCAUCUGCCAAUCAUAAAUCGAGAUCUCAGCCGUUCCAAAUAAAGAAAGAGUCUACCCUCCUUGCUGGCAGUCCUUUUAUAGUUGACAGAUUUUUUUUUUUAAUCUUGUGCUUGGCCAUGUAUUUCUUGUGUAAUUAAAAAAUUAUAAAAGGUAAUAAAAAAUACAAAUCCACUGCUAAGAGAUUUAAGACUCAAUAAAAAUUUCAGAAAGCCAGAGGUUUCUGGAUAGUAUGAGGAUUACAAGGAGAAGGUUAAUAAAUUCCAUGUCCCAACACCAGAAAAAAAGAAUAAAAGAGAAAAAACAAGGCUAUUUAUGAAAAGGAAAAGUAAUUAGAAAUGGCCCUUAAUGGCUGAGUGUGGUGGCUCAUACCUGUAAUCCCAGCACCUUGGGAGGCCGAGGCGGGUGGAUCACCUAAGGUCAGAAGUUCGAGAUCAUUCUGGCCAACAUGGUAAAACCCCGUCUCUACUAAAAAUACAAAAAAAUUAGCCAGGCAUGGUGGCGUGUGCCUGUAGUCCCAGCUACCUGGGAGGCUGAGGCAUGAGAAUUGCUUGAAACCGGGUGGCAAAAGUUGCACUGAGCCAAGAUCGCACCACUGCGCUCCAGCCUGGGUGACAGAGUGAGACUCCUUCUCAAUAAAAAUAAAAAAUAUAAUAAGAAAUGGUCCUUAAUUUGGAGAGGCUCACCCAAAAAAGUGAGCCUGAAGAGAAGGCGCCCUUCAUUCUUUUGCCACCCUGUUCUGGAGCCCAUGUACGAAAGAGCCAGUGGAUAUUGCAAAUGAGCUAAAGUCACCCAAGUUCCUACUGAAUGGUCAAAGGUCCUAUCUUAAGAGAGGCUCUCUGAGGAUGGGGUGGGCUGAGGUGGUGGACAAGAGGAGGGUUAUAGAGAAACACCUGGAGGACGCUAACAGAAACAGUCGAUCAUCAAAAAGAAAACACGAAGCACGCUUUGGGUUCUAUCAGCCCAGUUUCAACACAGCUUUACCCUGUGCGCCAGCUCUUUUGAGGGAUUUCGCCUGUCUAUGUGGCCGGCUGCCCCGGUAGAAGGUUAGUACUUUGUAGGGUAAAGGAGUCUUAGGAUCUAGAGAGAAUCCAGCUCUGCCAUUUUGACCUUGAACAAAUCACUGAGUUUCGUCUUUUCAUCUGUAAAGUGGGUGAUAAGGUCCAUCUCCUCAUCGCCAAGUCUGUAUGCUGAGGGCACGAGAGAGUGCAUGCCAAGUGCACAUGGGUGGAGUUCAGUAAAUAGUGGCUGAUCUCAUCCUCCUCCUCUCCAUGGUCGGAGGAGACCCCCUCUCUGGCUCGUGUGGCACGGCAGCUCCUGAUUUGGAAUGGAAUUGGUGCUUUCAUUUUUUGCUUCUUAAUAACACAGCUUACAUUUUCUAUAGUCGUGGGCAUCCUUUUUUUAUGGAAUAAAUGAACAUGGGUGACUUUGGUCAUAAUAUUCACUCUUAGAAAAUGAAUCUUUUCAUUUAUAUCCUUCACAAAAUCAGAGCCUAAUAGAAAUAGUCACAGGUCACUUCCAGCACCAAACUCCGCACCUUCUCCUUUGUGGGAAAUGUCACACUUUGCCAAUAAGUGGACACAGGGGGUUCCACGGCCCCAGGUAUUUUCAAGUGCAGAGGCACUCCAGUUCUGCAUAAAAUGCAUCAGGGGCCUCUUUUAUUAAUUCUUUAAGUCAUAAGUUCUGUAAAAUAAGUUUACUUCAACGAUCUCUCGCUUACUCUUCCUUUCUGGUAUGUACAUAUUUUACCACCUUUUUUUUUUCUUUUUGAGACAGAGUCUUGCUCUGUCUCCAGGCCGGAGUGCAGUGGUGUGAUCUUGGCUCACUGCAACCUCCGCCUCCUGGGUUCAAGCGAUUCUCCUGCCUC